AAAUGCCUACAGGAGUUUAUAGUUUGAUCCUGGCUCAAACAAAACGCUGUUAUGCAGAUGCUAACACAUGCACAGUCGAACGCAGAAAGUCCCUGCAAGGGAUCAGUAGAGUGGCAAACUGGGUGAGUAACUGCGUGGNGUGACCUGCCUUCAGAGCGGGGGAUAACGUAUCCGAAAAGUGGACAGCUAAUACCUGCAUAACAUCCUGCUUUUUAAGACGGUGGAGAUCAAACGCCAGGGGAUCGCAAGACCUGGCACUACGAAGAGGGGCCCGCGUCCGAUUAGCUAAGUUGUGUAGGGUGUAAUGGCUCACCAAAGGCUCCGAUCGGUAUCCGGCCNGANGAGAGGCGCGACGGACAACACAUGGGACUAGAAGACACAGGNCCAGACAUACCUACAGGGAGAGCAGGCANAAGUGGGGAAUNGUACGCAAAUGGGCAGCCAAGCCUGACCGACCGCAAACGCC
rnacentral:rRNA from 1 species